GCAAUGCAAUAAUUUACUUGUAUCUUGUAUUUCAUGAAUAUUAAAAACACUCUAUUAUCUUUCUUCAUUUAAUUUAUAUUUUCAAUAAGGUUUUAGUGCUUGAAAAGCUAAGUUUCGAGUUUAAUUGCAUUAAAGAAAACUGAAUAGCAGUUCCAUAUUUGCAGAAAAAUGCUGAAAAUGUCUUGCCCCUUAAGAAUUCCAGUCGGAAGGCACCAGGUGCCCAUACGCUAAUCUAAGCCUGAAAAUAAAUUAGACUCUACAAAACAUUUUGGACUGUUUCAACAUUCGUUCAUUUGGCAACUGUUUCAACACAGCUCUUACCCAAAUACUUGAACAUCCUGCACAGAAAAAAAGACUAAGAGUAAGCCC